rnacentral:rRNA from 1 species
ACACAUGCAAGUCGAGCGAGAAAGUCCCGGCAACGGGAUGAGUAAAGCGGCGAACGGGUGAGUAACGCGUGAGUAAUCCACCCUCUAGUCUGGGAUAACCUUCCGAAAGGUGGGCUAAUACCGGAUGAUGUCUUCUUGGGGCAUCCCAUGAAGAGCAAAGGGGGCGCCCGCAAGGGGCUCUCGCUGGAGGAGAAACUUGCGUCCGAUUAGCUAGUUGGUGAGGUAACGGCUCACCAAGGCGACGAUCGGUAGCCGGCCUGAGAGGGCGAUCGGCCACACUGGGACUGAGAUACGGCCCAGACUCCUACGGGAGGCAGCAGUGGGGAAUCUUGCGCAAUGGGCGAAAGCCUGACGCAGCGACGCCGCGUGGGGGACGAAGGCCUUCGGGUUGUAAACCCCUGUCAGGCGGAACGAAUCCCCUGAGGACGAAUAAUCCUUGGGGUUGACGGUACCGUCAGAGGAAGCCCCGGCUAACUACGU